rnacentral:rRNA from 1 species
AGCAGCCGCGGUAAUUCCAGCUCCAAUAGCGUAUAUUAAAGUUGUUGCAGUUAAAAAGCUCGUAGUUGAAUUUCGGGAUCAAUUUAUUGGUCGUGCUAUUGUACGUACUGGUAUUAUUGAUUCCUACCUUCUGACGAACCAUGAUGUCAUUAAUUUGGUGUCAUGGGGAAUCAGGACUGUUACUUUGAAAAAAU